rnacentral:rRNA from 1 species
AGAGUUUGAUCCUGGCUCAGAUUGAACGCUGGCGGCAGGCUUAACACAUGCGAGUCGAGCGGUAACGGGGGGAGCUUGCUCCCCGCUGACGAGCGGCGGACUGGUGAGUAAUGCAUAGGAGACUGCCCAGUAUUGGGGGAUAGCCCGGGGAAACCCGGAUUAAUACCGCAUACGCCCUUUGGGGGAAACAGGGGAUCUUCGGACCUUGCGCUAUUGGAUGUGCCUAUAUCGGAUUAGCUAGUUAGUGGGGUAAGAACCUACCAGGGCGACGAUCCGUAUCUGGUCUGAGAAGAUGAUCAGCCACAUCGGGACUGAGACACGGCCCGAACUCCUACGGGAGGCAGCAGUGGGGAAUAUUGACUAUGGGGGCAACCUGAUCCAGCCCAUGCCGCGUGUGUGAAGAAGGCUUUCGGGUUGUAAAACACUUUCAGUGAGGAGGAAAACCUUAAGUUUAAUACGCUUGAGGCUUGACGUUACUCACAGAAGAAGCACCGGCUAACUCCGUGCCAGCAGCCGCGGUAAUACGGAGGGUGCAAGCGUUGAUCGGAAUUACUGGGCGUAAAGCGCGCGUAGGUGGCUUGAUAAGCCGGUUGUGAAAGCCCCAGGCUCAACCUGGGAACGGCAUCCGGAACUGUCAAGCUAGAGUGCAAGAGAAGAAGGUAGAAUUCCCGGUGUUACCGGUGAAAUGCGUAGAAAUCGGGAAGAAUACCACUGGCGAAGGGGCCUUCUGGACUGACCUGACACUGAAGUUCGAAAGCCUUGGUACCAACAGGAUA